CUGGCUCAGAGCGAACGCUGGCGGCAGGCUUAACACAUGCAAGUCGAGCGGGCCCUU
rnacentral:rRNA from 1 species